rnacentral:rRNA from 1 species
GAUGAACGCUGGCGGCGUGCCUAAUACAUGCAAGUCGAGCGAACGGACGAGAAGCUUGCUUUUCUGAUGUUAGCGGCGGACGGGUGAGUAACACGUGGAUAACCUACCUAUAAGACUGGGAUAACUUCGGGAAACCGGAUCUAAUACCGGAUAAUAUUUUGAACCGCAUGGUUCAAAAGUGAAAGACGGUCUUGCUGUCACUUAUAGAUGGAUCCGCGCUGCAUUAGCUAGUUGGUAAGGUAACGGCUUACCAAGGCAACGAUGCAUAGCCGACCUGAGAGGGUGAUCGGCCACACUGGAACUGAGACACGGUCCAGACUCCUACGGGAGGCAGCAGUAGGGAAUCUUCCGCAAUGGGCGAAAGCCUGACGGAGCAACGCCGCGUGAGUGAUGAAGGUCUUCGGAUCGUAAAACUCUGUUAUUAGGGAAGAACAUAUGUGUAAGUAACUGUGCACAUCUUGACGGUACCUAAUCAGAAAGCCACGGCUAACUACGUG